GAUGAAGAACGUAGCGAAAUGCGAUACUUGGUGUGAAUUGCAGAAUCCCGUGAACCAUCGAGUCUUUGAACGCAAGUUGCGCCCGAAGCCAUCAGGUUGAGGGCACGUCUGCCUGGGCGUCACAUAUCGUUGCCCAAUGCCUAUUGCAGUGCAAUAGGAAUUUCUAGGGCGAAUGAUGGCUUCCCGUGAGCGUUGUUGCCUCGCGGUUGGUUGAAAAUCGAGUCCUUGGUAGGGUGUGCCAUGGUAGAUGGUGGUCGAGUUAGAACGAUACCGAUCAUGUGCAUGCUCCCCAAAAUAUGGCCUAUAUGACCCACACGCGUCUUUUGACGCUCAUGACGAGACCUCAGGUCAGGCGGGGCUACCCGCUGAAUUUAAGCAUAUCAAUAAGCGGAGGA
rnacentral:misc_RNA from 1 species